rnacentral:misc_RNA from 1 species
AAGUCGUAACAAGGUCUCCGUAGGUGAACCUGCGGAGGGAUCAUUAACACGUACGAAUAACAAAGUAGACUGGACUAAGCUAUUUAGACUUGUCUACUUUAUUAUUUAUACCAACUCGUGAACGAAACAUCAUGCCUCUUCUCCUUAGCGCUGUUACUAACCUAACAUUGCUGAGCUAUGUUUUGCUUGUAUUCUUUCUAUACAAACCAAUAUCCAAAUUGUAACUAACUAACAUAACCAUGCACAUAUGUAACAAUGUGUGCGUUUUAUGUACCAGUUAAUUUUAAACAUUUUAAGCACAACUCUUAGCAACGGAUAUCUCGGUUCUC